CCUAGAGUUGUAGGCUUUGCCUGCUAUCUCUUACCCAUGUCUUUGAGUACUUACGUUUCCUCGGCGGGUCCGCCCGCCGAUUGGACAAUUUAAACCAUUUGCAGUUGCAAUCAGCGUCUGAAAAACUUUAAUAGUUA
rnacentral:misc_RNA from 1 species